UGGCUGGAAAGGCUGCAAAUU
rnacentral:miRNA from 1 species